UACUCCAAGACCAAGUGGAAGGAGCUCUUC
rnacentral:piRNA from 1 species